CCCUAUUCUCUGGAUGUACUCUACUCAUAUCUUCAGACAUUACAGGCUUUUCUUAAAUUAAUGCCUUGUAAUGAAGUUUCUUCAGAUUUUUUCCUUGUAAACACUCAUUUAGCUUAUAUGUAGGUUUAAGCAACUUGUGUAACAGCAAGAUUUCAUAUAAAGCACAUUUGUCCUCAAAAAUCUCUUGACUAAAGAUUCUAGAAUGGGAACCUGAAAUUUAACUAUGAGAUGACCAGCAUAUGUGAUACCUGCUCAGAAAAGGGUGACAUUAGCAUUCUGCCAUCUAUCUUAAGCAUGACACUGUUCAAGUGUUCAGUCUUAUAUUCCUAACAUUAUUCUUACAUGGCACAGAGAGAGAGCUGUUUACAGAUCUAAAGAUUGCAAACCAGUAGCUCAGGAUACUUUAUUUAAUUAGUUUGCUCCUGAACACAGCUUUUGCAUGCAUCAUUCUCUGUUAUAUCACAGAUCUAUGAACAAUAAUUGACACAGAAACCCUCAACACUUACACUGAGCAUGACCUACCAGGAAAUUAUGUAUUCACAUGGUAGUAAUUUAAUGUACACUGUCUUGUACUCAUUUGCUUAAAAGAAUAUCAUCUGAGUCAGUGUUAAAAGCGUUAAGGUGUGUGUGUGUGUGUGUGUGUGUGUGUCAUUUACUGCUUCUAAUCUACCCACUGAAUCCCACUAGAGAGAAAAUCAGGUUGCACUAGCAUGCUUAAAAUAAUGUAUUUGUUCUUUCAAGUCCCACAAAUGCAAACUUCAAAAGAAAACAUCAAUUCACAUGUGUGGGCUAUAGCUGCAUGCUGGGUUUGGGCACAGAGAUUUCUGUGCCACUUCACCAACCCAAGCCUCCUUACCCACACAGAACAUUUGUUACAGCAAGGGCUAGCACCAGACAGCCUCCUCUUAUUCUACAUCUUUUUGUACUUUUCACUAGAGAAGCAAGGCUUAAAAGUUUUUUUUUUUCCUCCUAUCCCUUGGCUGGUAGAUAGAACACUGAAAUUGCAGUACUUUUAAUUUCAAUUAAACAAACAAUAGUAACAGCUGUGAUUGCCAUUAUUCCAUAACAUUAUC
rnacentral:lncRNA from 1 species